rnacentral:rRNA from 1 species
GACGAACGCUGGCGGCGUGCUUAACACAUGCAAGUGGAGCGACGAACCAGGGCUUGCCCUGGGGCAAAGCCGCGAACGGGUGAGUAACACGUGGGUAACCUGCCCUGAUGAUUGGGACAACCCGAGGAAACUCGGGCUAAUACCAAAUGUGCUCUUCGGUCAUAAGGCCGUCGAGGAAAGGUAGCUUCGGCUUCCGCAUCAGGAUGGGCCCGCGGCCCAUUAGCUUGUUGGUGGGGUAACGGCCUACCAAGGCUUCGAUGGGUAGCUGGUCUGAGAGGACGAUCAGCCACACUGGGACUGAGACACGGCCCAGACUCCUACGGGAGGCAGCAGUGGGGAAUCUUGCGCAAUGCGCGAAAGCGUGACGCAGCAACGCCGCGUGGGGGAAGAAGGCCUUCGGGUUGUAAACCCCUUUCAGUUGGGACGAAGCUUCUGCGGUGAACAGCCGUAUGGAGUGACGGUACCUUCAGAAGAAGCCCCGGCUAACUACGUGCCAGCCGCCGCAGUAACAC